UUUUUUUUUUUUUUUUUUUUGAGAUGGAGUCUUUCUCUGUCACAGGCUGGAGUACCGUGGCAUGAUUUUGGCUCAUUACAGUCGCCACCUCCUUGAUUCAAGAAAUUCUCCUGCCUUGUCCUCCUCAGUAGCUGGGACAACAGGAAUGUGCCACCAUGCCCAAAUAAUUUUUGCACUUUUAGUACAAACGGUGUUUCACCAUGUUAUUCAGGCUGGUCUUGGACUCCUGACCUCAGACAAUCCACCCACCUUGGCCUCCCAAAGUGUUGGGAUUACAGGCGUGAGCCAGGGAGCACAACCCUGUAUAUUAUAUCUUGUAGGACUGUGCCAAUGGUGAUGAACAGUCUCAACUUUUAUUUUGGAAAGUCUUUAUUUUUAUAUUCUUUUUGAAGUAAAAUAAUUUUGAAUCGAGUAUUACUGGUUAGAAGUUUUUGUUGUUGUUACAUCAAAAUUUGGGAAGUUCUCAGCUUUUUUUUUUUAAAUCUUCAAGUAACCUCUGUAUUACUUUACCUUAUAUUUUAAGAGUCCUUUCAUGAAUACAUUGAUCUACUUGUUUUACAUCCCAUGUUUUAAUUUUUUUGUAAUUUAAUAUUUUGUGUUAUAUAUUUUUGGGAAUGUCACAUCACAUCAUUUAAUUAUGUGUUGAUUUUUUAGUUUAUAUUAUAAUUGUAUAUAACAAUAUAUUUUUUAGUUUAUAAUUGUAUGUAACAAUAUUUAACUGUACAAUUUAAGACAGUGAAGAGCAAAAUUAAAUAUGAAAAAGCCAUGUAUCUAUUGCCAAUAUAAUUGUUUCUGUGUUUCUUUGCCUGUAUAAAUAUUAUCCCUGUA
rnacentral:lncRNA from 1 species